UACGUAGGGUGCAAGCGUUGUCCGGAAUUAUUGGGCGUAAAGAGCUCGUAGGCGGUCUGUCGCGUCUGCUGGGAAAACUCAGGGCUUAACCCUGAGCUUGCAGUGGGUACGGGCAGACUAGAGUGCGGUAGGGGAGACUGGAAUUCCUGGUGUAGCGGUGAAAUGCGCAGAUAUCAGGAGGAACACCGGUGGCGAAGGCGGGUCUCUGGGCCGUAACUGACGCUGAGGAGCGAAAGCAUGGGGAGCGAACAGG
rnacentral:rRNA from 1 species